rnacentral:rRNA from 1 species
UUUACGGAGAGUUUGAUCCUGGCUCAGGAUGAACGCUGGCGGCGUGCUUAACACAUGCAAGUCGAACGGUGAAGCCAAGCUUGCUUGGUGGAUCAGUGGCGAACGGGUGAGUAACACGUGAGCAACCUGCCCUGGACUCUGGGAUAAGCGCUGGAAACGGCGUCUAAUACUGGAUAUGAGCUCUCAUCGCAUGGUGGGGGUUGGAAAGAUUUUUCGGUCUGGGAUGGGCUCGCGGCCUAUCAGCUUGUUGGUGAGGUAAUGGCUCACCAAGGCGUCGACGGGUAGCCGGCCUGAGAGGGUGACCGGCCACACUGGGACUGAGACACGGCCCAGACUCCUACGGGAGGCAGCAGUGGGGAAUAUUGCACAAUGGGCGGAAGCCUGAUGCAGCAACGCCGCGUGAGGGAUGACGGCCUUCGGGUUGUAAACCUCUUUUAGCAGGGAAGAAGCGAGAGUGACGGUACCUGCAGAAAAAGCGCCGGCUAACUACGUGCCAGCAGCCGCGGUAAUACGUAGGGCGCAAGCGUUAUCCGGAAUUAUUGGGCGUAAAGAGCUCGUAGGCGGUUUGUCGCGUCUGCUGUGAAAUCCCGAGGCUCAACCUCGGGCCUGCAGUGGGUACGGGCAGACUAGAGUGCGGUAGGGGAGAUUGGAAUUCCUGGUGUAGCGGUGGAAUGCGCAGAUAUCAGGAGGAACACCGAUGGCGAAGGCAGAUCUCUGGGCCGUAACUGACGCUGAGGAGCGAAAGGGUGGGGAGCAAACAGGCUUAGAUACCCUGGUAGUCCACCCCGUAAACGUUGGGAACUAGUUGUGGGGACCAUUCCACGGUUUCCGUGACGCAGCUAACGCAUUAAGUUCCCCGCCUGGGGAGUACGGCCGCAAGGCUAAAACUCAAAGGAAUUGACGGGGACCCGCACAAGCGGCGGAGCAUGCGGAUUAAUUCGAUGCAACGCGAAGAACCUUACCAAGGCUUGACAUACACCAGAACACCGUAGAAAUACGGGACUCUUUGGACACUGGUGAACAGGUGGUGCAUGGUUGUCGUCAGCUCGUGUCGUGAGAUGUUGGGUUAAGUCCCGCAACGAGCGCAACCCUCGUUCUAUGUUGCCAGCACGUAAUGGUGGGAACUCAUGGGAUACUGCCGGGGUCAACUCGGAGGAAGGUGGGGAUGACGUCAAAUCAUCAUGCCCCUUAUGUCUUGGGCUUCACGCAUGCUACAAUGGCCGGUACAAAGGGCUGCAAUACCGUGAGGUGGAGCGAAUCCCAAAAAGCCGGUCCCAGUUCGGAUUGAGGUCUGCAACUCGACCUCAUGAAGUCGGAGUCGCUAGUAAUCGCAGAUCAGCAACGCUGCGGUGAAUACGUUCCCGGGUCUUGUACACACCGCCCGUCAAGUCAUGAAAGUCGGUAACACCUGAAGCCGGUGGCCCAACCCUUGUGGAGGGAGCCGUCGAAGGUGGGAUCGGUAAUUAGGACUAAGUCGUAACAAGGUAGCCGUACCGGAAGGUGCGGCUGGAUCACCUCCUUU